rnacentral:rRNA from 1 species
UACGAAGGGUGCAAGUGUUACUCGGAAUUACUGGGCGUAAAGCGUGCGUAGGCGGUUUGUUAAGUCCGUUGUGAAAGCCCUGGGCUCAACCUGGGAAUUGCAGUGGAUACUGGCGAGCUAGAGUGCGGUAGAGGAUGGUGGAAUUCCCGGUGUAGCGGUGAAAUGCGUAGAGAUCGGGAGGAACACCCGUGGCGAAGGCGACCAUCUGGACCAGCACUGACGCUGAGGCACGAAAGCGUGGGGAGCAAACAGG